rfam:Lactobacillus silagei DNA, scaffold: sequence11, strain: IWT126.
AAUCUCGGGUAAUCGCGGCCGGCUUAUGUCGGCUGAGGAAAGUCCAUGCUCGCACAAGCUGAGAUGCUUGUAGUGUUCGUGCUCGGUGAAAAAAUAAGCCGGGGGACUUCGCAAGAAGUUACGGCGGGAAAACGCGCUAAGGUUUCGGCUAUGCGUUAAUAUCCCUGAAAAGUGCCACAGCGACGAUGACGUAUUGGAAAACUGAUGCGGUGGAACGUUGGUAAACCCCUCGAGCGGGCAACCCAAACUAUGGUAGGGGAGCUUCACAUCUGGAAAUGAACUAAAUGUGGGGGGAGAGUUUUUAACUCUCGAGAUAGAUGAUUACCGCUUUAUUAGACUGUCCCUGACAUCUAGUAAAGUACGGAACAUGGCUUAUAGAG